rnacentral:rRNA from 1 species
UACAGGGAGGGCAAGCGUUGUUCGGAAUUACUGGGCGUAAAGGGCUCGUAGGCGGCCAACUAAGUCCGACGUGAAAUCCCAAAGCUUAACUUUGGAACUGCGUCGGAUACUGGAUGGCUUGAAUUCGGGAGAGGGAUGCAGAAUUCCAGGUGUAGCGGUGAAAUGCGUAGAUAUCUGGAGGAAUACCGGUGGCGAAGGCGGCAUCCUGGACCGACAUUGACGCUGAGGAGCGAAAGCUAGGGGAGCAAACGGG